rnacentral:rRNA from 1 species
UACAGAGGGUGCAAGCGUUGUUCGGAAUUACUGGGCGUAAAGCGUGCGUAGUCGGUAUUGAGAGUCGCGGGUGAAAUCCCAGGGCUUAACCCUGGAACUGCCUGCGAGACCUCAGUACUAGAGUGUGAGAGGGGAUAGUGGAAUACCAAGUGUAGCGGUGAAAUGCGUAGAGAUUUGGUGGAACACCGGUGGCGAAGGCGGCUAUCUGGCUCACAACUGACGAUCAGGCACGAAAAGCGUGGGGAGCAAACAGG